rnacentral:rRNA from 1 species
GACGAACGCUGGCGGCGUGCCUAACACAUGCAAGUCAAGGGGAAAGGCGGACUUCGGUUUGCCGAGUAUACUGGCGGACGGGUGAGUAACGCGUAGGCAACCUGCCCCUAUGCCUGGGAUAACCUCGAGAAAUCGGGGCUAAUACCGGAUAAGGUUAUCGUAACGCAUGUUAUGAUAAUCAAAGGUGCCGCAAGGUACUGCAUAGGGGUGGGCCUGCGUUCCAUUAGCUAGAUGGUGAGGUAACGGCUCACCAUGGCGACGAUGGAUAGCUGAUCUGAGAGGAUGAUCAGCCACACUGGGAUUGAGAUACGGCCCAGACUCCUACGGGAGGCAGCAGUGAGGAAUAUUGCGCAAUGGGGGCAACCCUGACGCAGCAACGCCGCGUGGGGGAAGAAGCUCUAUGGAGUGUAAACCCCUGUAGGUAGGGAAGAAAGUCAUGGCUUCGCAAGGGGUCAUGUUUGACGGUACCUGCAAAGUAAGCUCCGGCUAACUCCGUGCCAGCAGCCGCGGCAAUACGGGGGGAGCAAGCGUUGUCCGGAAUCACUGGGCGUAAAGGGCGUGUAGGCGGUCUGGUAAGUCAGAUGUGAAAUCCCACGGCUUAACCGUGGCAUUGCAUUUGAAACUGCCAGACUUGAGUGCGAGAGAGGGUAGUGGAAUUCCCGGUGUAGCGGUGAAAUGCGUAGAUAUCGGGAAGAACACCAGUAGCGAAGGCGGCUACCUGGCUCGUAACUGACGCUAAGGCGCGAAAGCGUGGGGAGCAAACAGGAUUAGAUACCCUGGUAGUCCACGCCGUAAACGAUGGGCACUAGGUGUUGGGGCCGACAUGUCGGCCUCAGUGCCGCAGCCAACGCAUUAAGU